GCCAAGAAAAUCAAUAUUGGCGGCUAGCACUCAAGGAAUGGCCGCCAAGAGUAGAGAGACAAGGAAAUACUAUUUCCUUGAGUGCCGGCCGCCACAAAUCAUUUCCUUGAGGGUUAAACCGUCAAGAAAAUAAAUCAGUGGUCAGAUUUUUAGCAUCGUCAAGAAAAUAUAACGACACCCAAGGAUAUAGGUUUCCUUGAGUGCCAAUGACACUCAAGAAAAUGUAAGAACACCCAAGGAUAUAGGUUUCCUUGAGUGCCGAUGGCACCCAAUAAAAUGUAAAAACACCCAAGGAUAGAUAUUUUCUUGAGUGCCGAUAACCCUCAAGGAUAUGCAUGGAAAAAAAGAGAAACAAUCUCAUAUUUGUUGUAGCUGAGAUUCGAACUCAUGACGUGAGAUUCCAAGUGAAACUAACUUACCACUACACCACUUAGUCUUUUGUGACCAAGUGAAUGUUUCUUUCUUUUUGUUUUCACUUUAGCGGAUCUUGUAAUAAAUAUUUGAGAACCUAAAUGAUUUCAAAUGAAAAAAGUUUGAAUUAUAAAGUUUUGUAUCUCAUCGAGUACUAUAACUUUGGUUUAGGUUGUAUCUCUAUCUGAAGUCAUUUGAAAGAUUCAAAAAAAUUAAAGUUCAAAAUUCUAAUAAUUUAAAACAUAUUUUAUGGACCUCAAAUAAUUUCAAAUGAAAAUUUCAUCAACUAAGAAGUUGUAUAUCUCUUCGGCCUCUAUAACUUUGAUAUAAACUUUUCCUCCAUACGAUAUUAGUAUGUUACAUUUUAGCUUUAAAAUAAGCAGGCAUCUCAAGCUAAGUGUUAGUAUAUGCAUUCUCUAAUGCAUAACAACACAAAAUUAUAACUUUUAUUGGAUUAAUUUACUAACAACAAAUAUAUAUCAGUUUCCAAACAUGUCAAAGGAGCAUUUAUGUCUAUAAAAUGCAAUAUCUAACUAACAAGAAUGCAAUGAGUUCACUAUAUCGGUGGUUAAGAGAAAUAUGACUAUAAACUGUUUUUUUCCUUGGCAGCUACAAUAAUUUACUUGAGGGUUUGCACCUAAAGAAACUAGAAUUUCCUUGGCGGUUUCUAGUUACACCCAAGGAAAUGUGAAUUACCUUUAGUGGUUUAUAAAAACACUCAAGGAAAUAUAGAAUUACCUUGGCGGUUUCAACUAGCACUCAAGGAAAUACAGAUUUAACUUGGCGGUUUGGUUUAGCACUCAAGAAUAUGCAUUUUCUUGGGUGUUUUAUACAACCCUCAAGGUAAUUG
rnacentral:lncRNA from 1 species